rnacentral:rRNA from 1 species
CAGUCGCCGCGGUAAUGCGGAGGGAGCUAGCGUUGUUCGGAAUUACUGGGCGUAAAGCGCGCGUAGGCGGUUAUUCAAGUCAGAGGUGAAAGCCCGGGGCUCAACCCCGGAACUGCCUUUGAAACUAGAUGGCUAGAAUCUCGGAGAGGUCAGUGGAAUUCCGAGUGUAGAGGUGAAAUUCGUAGAUAUUCGGAAGAACACCAGUGGCGAAGGCGACUGACUGGACAAGUAUUGACGCUGAGGUGCGAAAGCGUGGGGAGCAAACAGGAUUAGAUACCCCCGUAGUCCCUGUCUCUUAUAC